UAAAUUCGCAUGCAUGUUUAGUCUGUGCGGUUUCGAGUUCUUUAGUUUCUGUCCAGUGAAGUGUGAAUAUACACACUAACAUUGUACUGUCUUGCACGAAAAUACUGUAAAAUACAGGCAAACAAGGUUUGAAAAUAUUUUGCAAACUGAACAUCAGAUCGGAAAUAAAAGUUUGUCCCAGCAACCAACAAAUGAAGCAGUAGUCUUACAAGAAAGUCACAGAUAGAUAUAUACCGCAAUGAAUAUAACAACAUAUAUAUAGCCAAAUUGACCAACAAUAACGAAACCCAAAUUAACCUACAAAA